GACGAACGCUGGCGGCGUGCUUAACACAUGCAAGUCGAACGGAAAGGCCCUGCUUUUGUGGGGUGCUCGAGGGGCGAACGGGUGAGUAACACGUGAGUAACCUGCCCUUGACUUUGGGAUAACUUCAGGAAACUGGGGUUAAUACCGUAUAGCAGCCCCUGCUGCAUGGUGGGGGUUGGAAAGUUUCGGCGGUUGGGGAUGGACUCGCGGCUUAUCAGCUUGUUGGUGGGGUAGUGGCUUACCAAGGCUUUGACGGGUAGCCGGCCUGAGAGGGUGACCGGCCACAUUGGGACUGAGAUACGGCCCAGACUCCUACGGGAGGCAGCAGUGGGGAAUAUUGCACAAUGGGCGGAAGCCUGAUGCAGCAACGCCGCGUGCGGGAUGACGGCCUUCGGGUUGUAAACCGCUUUCGCCUGUGACGAAGCGUGAGUGACGGUAAUGGGUAAAGAAGCACCGGCUAACUACGUG
rnacentral:rRNA from 1 species